rnacentral:tRNA from 1 species
UAUUUCUAUAGCUUAAUAAGAGUACAACACUGAAGAUGUUGGGGUGGAUGAUUCCUGGAAAUAU